UCCUUAUCGAGAGAGGCGGAGGGACUGGCCCGAAGAAGCCCGGCAACCUGCAUAAUUUAACAAAAUUAUGCAAUGGUGCUAAAUCCUGCAGAGAAAUUCUGGGAGAUAAGGA
rnacentral:ncRNA from 2 species